AGAGGUUAACAGAGAUAAUGUCAGCACCAGCUGCAGAGGUGGCUUUGUGUAUGAGAGAGAUGAGUUUUAACAAAUAAUGACCCGGGGAGGCGUAAGUCUAUAGAGAAAAUAGAGAUUGUAAAGCUAAAGUAGCUCAGAUGAAUCCCAGUCCAGAAAAGGAAGCAUCGAUCAACACAGAUAACAGCAGCUGAGUGAAGCUACAGAGAGUGAAAAGCUCACCUGUCACUGCUGAAGAAAAGGUUCGAACAACAUGGUGAUCCAUCACCAAGUGUCAUCAGGGAAAUGGUUUGCUCAGGUUCCCUCAUCUGAGUUGUGGAUUUCUGCAGCUCCUCCAAAGUUCCCAUGGCCAUUUUUGGCUGCAGGUUGAA